ensembl:lncRNA
GUUUGUAUUUAGGGGUUUACUGUAAAAUAAGGUAACCCAAACCAAAAAAUAUGGUAGCCCAUAUAUAUACCCGUUGUGACCCAUAAAAGCCCUAGAUAAGUACGAUCUGGGCCCCAUCAUUAACCCAUGUGGAUCCUAAAUGGGAACUACCUGGGCUACCCAUAUGGGCUUGAUAUGGAGCCCACCAAGAGCCCAUCAUCAACCCAUCUGGGCUAACCCAUGUGGGGCCACCAUGGAAACUGAGGACAAAAUUAGCUGGGUCCCAGUUGGGUUGCCCAGGUGGGCCCCAGAUAUCAGCCCAGGUGCAACCCCUUUGGGCCCCACAUGGGUGUGAGUAGACGCGCAAUGAACUUGAAGCGCAGAUGGCGUGACCGCGCUACUCUGAAACGCAGAUGGCGUGACUGCAGUUGAAGGAAAGCAACAGCAUGCUGCUCAGUGAUUCUUUUAAUCUUGUUUGUCACAUUUUCAUAUUGGUUGGAAGCCAAAUCGAAACCGAAACUAAAAUCUGAUUCGUACAGCUCCGCUGCUAACUCACGAUGAAUUUGAGUAGAUUUCCCCGCGAGCUCUUCAGGAGAACACAAGACAAGUCUUUCAGCGUUUUUCUUCCGAUUUAGAUUUAAAGGUGUUAUUGUUAAAAUGGCGACAGCAGCAGGUAGACGUAGUCCAUUAUUUGAUCGUCCUGACAUGAGUGAUCUGAGGAUUGUGCUGAUAGGAAAGAAUGGAUCAGAAAACAGGCGAGUGGCAAACACUAUACUGGGAAGAGCAGUGUUUGACAGUGAAGCUCCAUCUCAUUCACAGCAGCACAGUGACAGAAUCAGUGGAGAGCUGGAGGGGAGAUACAUCACAGUCUACAAUCCUCACCUGCUCCAGCCAAAUUUCCCACAGGGAGUGAUAAUAGAUGGAGUGAGAGACUGUGUGUCUCAUUCUGAUCCAGGACCUCAUGUGUUUGUACUCGUUCUGCAGAAUAACAACUUCAAUGAGAACGACAGACACAGAGUGAAAUAUGUACUGAACCUCUUCAGUUACUAGGCCUUGAAACACACUAUAGUGCUGACUACUGAUGAUGUGCCACGCAGAUCAAUAUUCACUUCUAGGAAUAACUCUAUUCAUGAUUUAAUAAAGGAGUGUGGAGGAGGACAUCUGAAGUUUAAUACAGUAAGCACAGGAUGGCGCUUUGAGAUUUUCAGAAGGACAGAAGAGAUACUCAAGAAAGAAAGAAUAGAAUUUCUCAUCUGUGACAAUAAUGAGGAUGAAGAUCUGAGAAGAUCUGGGGCUUCCGUCAGAGAAGAAGACAAAAAAAGAGCAUUCUGAUCUAAAAGAGAGCACAAAAACAGCAAGUGAUGGAGGAGUGGGGACUACUGGGAAAGCAAAGCUGAACAUCGUGCUGUGUGGAAAUAACUCAACACUCAAGAACUCAGUGUCUAAAAUCUUUAGAGGCAAAAUAAGUCAACCUCAGAAAGAGAUGAGUAAUGUAUGUGUAAAGAAAGAGGGAAUGAUUCAUGGACAGAUCUCUCAGAGGAGGAAGUGAUGCGCCAGACUCACCGCUGUGUGUCUCUCUGUCACCCUGGAGUUCAUGUGUUCAUCCUCAUCAUUCCUGAUGCUCCACUAACUGAUGAAGACAGAGCAGAGAUAGAAGAGAUCCAGAGGAUCUUCAGCUCAAGAAUCAACAAACACAUCAUGAUCCUCAUAAAGCAGGAUUCAGAGCAUCAGACAGCAGAACUAAAUGAAGAAACACAGUCUGUCACUGAGAGAUUUGGAGGACAUCAUUUCAUUGACCUGAACACACACGUGUCUGUGUUGAUGGAUAAAUUGGAGCAGAUGGUUGAGGAAAAUAGUGGUGUUUAUUUCUCAACAGAGACACUGAUGGAGGCACAGAUGGAGAAACUGCUGAAAUGAAGAGGAGAAUCUGUUCAUUAGAGAUGUUUCUUUAGUUAUAAGGUAAUGCUCUGCAGGGAUUAAACACUUUUCAUAAUGGUUAAGGUCUACAUACUAUCCAAACAAAAUGAUUAGCACAUGCUUAAUAUAAAUUAUACACAGUAUAUUUUUCUGAUGAUCUUCAUAAUUCACCAUAUUUACUUGAAAUUCAAUAUAUUGUUUUAUUAGUGCCCAAGCCGCAAGGGUCAAAGCACCCUAUUGUUUUUAGGGCCCAAGCCACUAGGACACAGGGCCCUAUUGUUCUUCUAGGGAUUAUAAUUAGGGCCCAAGCCCAUGGGGUGAAGGGUUUUUGGGGCCCUUAACAUGCUCAAAAAAACACACCUUGGAAUCUGUGGCCAUUAGAGCCAGGCCGAGAGUGUUACAUGAGUGUUACAGGAGUAGAGGGGCUCUACUGCACUGCCUAGAAUAUUGUGGUCCAUAUAUCAUACAUAUUUGCCUGUAUGAACUUCGGUACACAUAUAGAUCUCAUCAAGCUGAACAACUUUUGCACUGCAUCUCAUUAGCUCCACCCAACAGGAAGUCAGCUAUUCUAGGUUUUGUAAAAAAAUGCAUGCCCUGGAAUUUGAUAUACUUAUCCUAGUGUUUUCCUCCGAUUCCCACCAAACUUCUGAUCUCAAGACAUUGAGGAUGCUAAAUUGUGAAGGGAUUUUUGAUAUCUCGAACAAUUUGGCCAUGCUGAGGCAACAGUAUUUAUGGCAAGAAAUCUGAUAUAGGAAGUGUUUUAUAACUUCCAUAUACAGUGUCUGAUUUUGAUCAAACUUUAGCAGUUUGUUCAUUGCAUGAAGCCGAUCACAUAGAUGUGACAAUUAUGAGUCAAAGUUAUAGCACCACCAACUGGCAGAAGGAAGUGUCUCUUUUAAAAAUGCUUUGAAUUCACCCAAUUGAAACUUGAAUUUUUAAACCGAUUUGAAUACUGUCAAAACAUGGCAGAUGUAAACCUGCAAAAGGAUUAUUGAAAUUGUAAGUAGUGUUGCCAUGGCAACAAAUUUUAUCUACAUGAUGCCAAAACACUGAGGAACCUAAAUUGCAAAUGGAUUUUGAAUAUCUUGAAUGGCGUUGCCAUGGCAAUUUAUUAAAUAAACAGCUACAAAGAAAAUGUAUCUUUAUAUUUUAAUUUUCUCAUAUCUUAAAGUUUAUUAUCUAAACAUUUCACAACUUUUUUUUCAUAUGGAAAACAAGUCAUUCUGAGGAAACAUGCUUAGUUUCAUGUAUUUACAAUACUCAAUGGCUAAAAUGUAAAACUAUUAGACAUUUCAGCUGACAGAUAAAGGCUGCUGGUUGUCCAUCAGGAUAAGAAAUCUUUUAAGCAUAAACCUCUUUCUUCUCGGUUUGCAAUAGUUAGUUUGAUAAAUAAAUAGAAUAUAUAUUGUGUUGGUAAUAUAGAUUUAUGUAAUUAUUUAACAAAUGCUUAUAGACAAUAACAAUCAUUUAAAAAUGCUUAUAUAUCAUAAAAAGUUUUGGUAACAUUUGACAGUAAGGUCUCUUUUUUAAUCCUUUUUUAAAACAUAAACUAACAAUGAACAACAUAUUUUUACAAUAUUGAUUUAAGGGGUCAUGUAAUGUUGCUAAAAAGAACAUUAUUUUGUGUAUUUGGUGUAAUGCAAUGUGUUUAUGCAGUUUAAGGUUCAAAACAUUAUUUUCCACAUACUGUAAAAUUAUUGUUUCUCCUCUAUGCCCCGCCUUCUGAAAUGCUUCCAUUUUUACAAAGCUCAUCUUUCUGAAAAGUGAGGUGUGCUCUGAUUGGCCAGCUAUCCAGUGUGUUGUGAUUAGCCGAAUGCCUCAAGCGUGUGACGGAAAUGUUAAGCCCUUAACAUACUGUGAUGUGUGUGUCCUGGCGCGACGAGACAAAACCAAUAAAACCCAUUACAAACAAGGCAUUUGUACCAUCCAGUGGGUACAUAAUUACUGAUUAUAAUGACUUAUACUGUGUUUACAUAACACCAAGCAACUUUAGGGAUCUUACCUAUUCACGAACAGCUUGUAACACUCCAAAGAGAAAGGAAAACUUGAAAUCGCAUCAUAUGACCCCUUUAAUCUUUGUUAAUUUAAUAAAUAAAAAUGUUCAUAUUAGUUAAUGGUAUUAACUAAUGUUAACAGAUACAAGUUUCAAUUUUAAUUAAUAACAUAUUAGUAAAUUCUGAACAUAAUACUGUAUAAAGAUUCAUAAAUGCAAUAUAUUGUUCAUGUUAAGUAAUAAAGUUAAUGAAUGCUAACAGCUGAAACUGAGAGUGUUACCAGAGUUUUAUAGAUUGUUCUCUUUGUGUGUGAAUGUGUUUAUCACACUCUGGUGUUCUAGAAGUAACCAUUUCAUUGCUGUGUGCUGACCAUAACAAUCAGACUGCUAAACAAUCAAUUAUAUAGUAUUUAUUUCUAUGUGAAAUAAUAAAUUUAUUAUGGAAAAUCAGAUUGUAUUGUGUUUUUCAAAUAAUGCAGUAUGUGUAAGGUUGAAAGGUACUAGUUGAAAUAAAAUAAACUGUAAUAUAUAGUAUAACAACUAGACGCCUGUCUAGGUCUAUUUUUUUUUAAAUUAGGUUGUGAAAAACUUGUUCAUUUCAUUAUGAGUUGUUUUUGUCAUGAUCAUGUAUUUUUUUAUUUGAUUUUCAUGGACUUUUGGUUUGUAUUCAUCACUUUCCUGCUUCCGUUGUUCUAGUUUCCUGCCACUCAUCAGUUACUAUGGACAUUCAUUAAUGAUCACACCUACCCGCAAUUCAGUCAUCACCAUGGAUAUUUAAGGCUGGCUGCACACUAGACAAUUUUAAGGCCCAAUUUAAAGCCCAAUUUGUACCCCUAAAUGAUCGAGGGGCAUGAUUUGUUGUUCUUUUUUGUCCAAAAAAGCAGAGUACAUCAUCCUUAUUCUUUUUUAUUCUUUGUUUUUCACUUUGAAGAAUGUGCACCAGGAGAGCCAGCUGACAACGUCGAUUGUUCUCCAUUGUGCAAUGCUGUUUCAUAGGUUAGCUUGCUGUUUAGAUUACCUUCAGUUGUCUUCUUUAAUCCUUGUAAGGUGUUUGGGUCUGUAGAGUCUGUAAGAGUGUGAGUUUUGUGUUUCUGCCCCUGACAGGAAAAGGGUCAAUUUUGACCAUAUAUGCUGUUUAUAUUACUUGUAAUAGGUAUGAAGUAAACAUCUGUUGAGUAUUUUAACAUAUAAUUUUUGAUUGUGUUGAAUUAAAAACCCAAAACUGCAUUGGGUCCACCAGACCCACGAACACUGGCUGAGUAACAAAAAUAUGAACACCAUACAAGGGUUCAUAAACUGUGC